rnacentral:rRNA from 1 species
AUUGAACGCUAGCGGGAUGCUUUACACAUGCAAGUCGAACGAGAGGCGGAAGGGUGAGUAAUAUAUCGGAACGUGCCCAGGAGAGGGGGAUCACUAACCGACAGCGUGACUAAUUCCGCAUACUUUUGGAGCGGCCGAUAUCGGAGUGUCUAGGUGGUGGGGUAAAGGCUAACCAAGGCAACGAGCAGUAGCGGGUUUGAGAGGACGAACAGCCACACUGGGACUGAGACACGGCCCAGACUCAUACGGGAGGCAGCAGUGGGGAAUGUUGGACAAUGGGGGAAACCCUGAUCCAGCCAUCCCGCGUGUAUGAGAAGGCCUUCGGGUUGUAAAGUACUUUUGGCAGGGAAGCGGUAUCUGCAGAAUAAGCACCGGCUAACUACGUGCCAGCAGCCGCGGUAAUUC